rnacentral:lncRNA from 1 species
GAUUGGCAGCAGUGGUGGUGGUGCACCCCCAGUUUGGGCAGAAGCACCCCCAGCAGGAUGUGCGGAUGGACCAGGUGAUUGGCCUGCUGGGGGGGAAGAUGGCAGUUUGGCAGUUGGAGGCAACUGCUGGCCUGGAGAAGGAAGGUUGGUAGGCUCUGAGGCAGUUUGAGCGCAGGGAGGAGGGGAAGACCCUUCCUCUACUUCCACCACCUCAAUCUCUCCAGGCUGGAGAGAUG